CACCAUUUAGUUCCAACUGCCUUAUCUUUUAUUUUAUUAUUUUAUUAUUUAUUAUUAUUUGGUUUAUUUUUAUUAGAUUUAGUUUGUUAUAUUAUUGUUACUAGUUUUAGUGAUAGUAUUUAUAAUGUUCCCGUAUUCUUAUUCUACUUGUUUGGAUUAUUAUAGUUUUAGAUUUUUAAUUUUUUAAUAAUUUUUUUAAUAAAAGGGAAUGUAAUUAAUUUUGUUGUCCAUUCAUACAAUUAUCUACUCCUAAUGAAUUUUCC
rnacentral:lncRNA from 1 species